AUGAAAUUCCUCCCUGAACAAAGCUUGAGGAACCUGAAGUCUGCAGUCCUUCAGUCACAAGGCAUCCGAUGCUUGGUUCCAGAUGAUUGCAACAAGUUGCUUGCUCUUGUUAGAGCUGAAAAAAGAAAAGUCCGCGGCACUUUCACGUUGAUCCUUCGUCUUCGAUCUAUGCCGCCGGGCAUGACGCACCCUCCGUCAGAGUUCACGCCGGCCACGACGCUUCAUCUACAUCCGCAGGCUUUUAAUCGCCCUCUGGAGCAAGCAUCACCAGCAACCCUCGUAAUGGACGGCCUCCCACUCCUUUGUGCCUUUUACUAUUGUACAGUUACAUUCCGUGGGAAUUGUGCCGUGUGUGUGUGGGCAGUUUAG
rnacentral:rRNA from 1 species